rnacentral:rRNA from 1 species
AUUGAACGCUGGCGGCAGGCUUAACACAUGCAAGUCGAGCGGGGUGAUGGUGCUUGCACUAUCACUUAGCGGCGGACGGGUGAGUCAUGCUUAGGAAUCUGCCUAUUAGUGGGGGACAACAUCUCGAAAGGGACGCUAAUACCGCAUACGUCCGACGGGAGAAAGCAGGGGAUCUUCGGACCUUGCGCUCAUAGAUGAGCCUAAGUCGGAUUAGCUAGUUGGUGGGGUAAAGGCCUACCAAGGCGACGAUCUGUAGCGGGUCUGAGAGGAUGAUCCGCCACACUGGGACUGAGACACGGCCCAGACUCCUACGGGAGGCAGCAGUGGGGAAUAUUGGACAAUGGGGGGAACCCUGAUCCAGCCAUGCCGCGUGUGUGAAGAAGGCCUUAUGGUUGUAAAGCACUUUAAGCGAGGAGGAGGCUACUGAGACUAAUACUCUUGGAUAGUGGACGUUACUCGCAGAAUAAGCACCGGCUAACUCUGUGCCAGCAGCCGCAGUAA